UACAGAGGUCUCAAGCGUUGUUCGGAUUCAUUGGGCGUAAAGGGUGCGUAGGCGGCGCGGUAAGUCGGGUGUGAAAUCUCGGAGCUUAACUCCGAAACUGCAUUUGAUACUGGUGUGCUUGAGGACUGGAGAGGAGACUGGAAUUCAUGGUGUAGCAGUGAAAUGCGUAGAGAUCAGGAGGAAGACCAGUGGCGAAGGCGGGUCUCUGGACAGUUCCUGACACUGAGGCACGAAGGCCAGGGGAGCAAACGGG
rnacentral:rRNA from 1 species